rnacentral:rRNA from 1 species
CUUGGUCAUUUAGAGGAAGUAAAAGUCGUAACAAGGUUUCCGUAGGUGAACCUGCGGAAGGAUCAUUACCGAGUGAGGGUCCCUCGAGGCCCAACCUCCCAUCCGUGUUGUUAAACACCUGUUGCUUCGGCGGGCCCGCCGUGGUUCACGCCGUGGCCGCCGGGGGGCAUCUCGCCCCCGGGCCCGCGCCCGCCGAAGACCCCUCGAACGCUGCCUUGAAGGUUGCCGUCUGAGUAUGAAAUUCAAUCGUUAAAACUUUCAACAACGGAUCUCUUGGUUCCGGCAUCGAUGAAGAACGCAGCGAAAUGCGAUAAGUAAUGUGAAUUGCAGAAUUCCGUGAAUCAUCGAAUCUUUGAACGCACAUUGCGCCCCCUGGCAUUCCGGGGGGCAUGCCUGUCCGAGCGUCAUUGCUAACCCUCCAGCCCGGCUGGUGUGUUGGGUCGACGUCCCCCCCGGGGGACGGGCCCGAAAGGCAGCGGCGGCGCCGCGUCCGAUCCUCGAGCGUAUGGGGCUUUGUCACGCGCUCUGGUAGGGUCGGCCGGCUGGCCAGCCAGCGACCUCACGGUCACCUAUUAUUUUUCUCUUAGGUUGACCUCGGAUCAGGUAGGGAUACCCGCUGAACUUAAGCAUAUCAAUAAGCGGAGGA